GAGGAAAAGAUCCUAGAGGGUAGAAGGAAAAUAGAGAAGGAUUGUCACGCUCGACAUUCUGGUGGGGAUGAAGGUGGUGGGGUGUGUAGAGCAGUACAGAGAACGUGGGAGAGAGGAAGAAAGGGAGAGAGUAAAAGGGGAGAACGAAGACAGAACGAGGGUAGUGAGGAGGGGUUGAAACGCGUAGGGACACAGAGCCAUAAGAGGGUUGAUGGCGGCCGGGGUUGGCCCCAGUAGCACAGUCGCGCGCCAAACUCCCGUAAGAAAGCACGUACCCGGUGAUUCUCGAACGCUCUCUCGCGCAUCCUGCAUCCAACGUCGACGGACGGAUUUCUUUUUUUUUUUUUUCAACGACGACGAGUUCGACGAGUUCGGGCCACUGACCCGCCACUCUUGUCGUCGCGUACCUUCGCGCCUACACUCGAGAGGGUUGAUACUACCUGUGACUAUUGGGGCCGGUGACUCGAGACACACACAAGCGGGUUUUUUCUCCUGAAAAGACUAAAGUCUCGUCGUGGUUGGAACGCUCGAGACGAUCGAAGUGGAAGGGUGGAUUUAGCAGGUGGAAAUUAUUUGGGAGCUAAUUGACGUCACUGAUAUCUCGACGCACACGGUAAAUAGCCAUAAGCGACGACGGGAGCAAAAAAGGAAAAAAAAAAA